GUGAAGUGUCUGUUUGUCUAUCUCUCUCUUUGCUUUCUGGAUGCCACCAUCACAGUGACAGUAAAGGCCCAUAAAGAAAACUAUUUCCUUCUGGUCAAGAGAAAGAAAUCUCUGAUUUGGGUGGAGACUGUUAUAACAUUCCAGUUGAUCAGGCCAAUGUUUCAUCUGAGAAAGAGCCUGCUGAUGAAAUCAUUAUAGUCAUGGAAAGAGUUUUCAGACAAGGCAAUGCUACAUACAUUUGUGAACCAGUAGAUGUGGGGAACAGGAAGUGAUAAGUACCACCUUCAAGUGCAAACCCCGCCUGCCCUCAGCAGCAUCACUGUCUACUUCCCUCAACAAAAGAAAAGGAAAACUCCUGCUGAUGGUCCCUGACCACAUAACUAAACUAUUGGACAGUUUUCUGAAGAGAUUCAAUCCAUCUAUGUUUAUAAAGAUCAUUUGCAUUGUUAAUCUGAUUUUAAAUACUCUAGUUUGAAAUAUGGAAACACUGAGGUCAUCAUUUGGAAGUCUUCUGUCAUGAGUUUUAUGUGCAACUUCAAGGUCAAAAUAAUAUAAGAAUGGUAAGAAACUUGCUUGGUUUGUAAGUCAUAAGGCCCUGGGUUCAAACCCAGUGCCACCAUAAGAGAGAGAGAGGAGGAUGAGAAAGGAGGGGAGGGAGAGAGGGAAGGAGGGAGGAAGAAAGGAAAUUAUUGAGUAGCAGUGCAUAAAAACCCUUGAUUGUUGUGAAUAAAUUUCAUGCUAACUUCCUUUAAGAAAAGGGACAGGUUGGCACAUUAACUUGCACCAGAAAUGAGUUUUUAUUAGUUGUUUACAAAUGUUUUUUAGUACAUAGAUGGGAUUAUACAUGAGGCCUUCACAGAAAUAAAUGGCAAAAUCAUGAAUCCACCCAUCAGCCUUCAGAGAAAAGUUAAUGGAAGAAAUCAUUGCAGGUGAUAAAAGAUUGCAUUUCAUUAUUGAGGAAUGACAGCUACAAACACAGCAGGUAUGAAUGCAGAAUGUCACCUUAGCUUACACUCAACCUAUUGAUGGGAGGCAGCAGUAGUCUAGCUGGUCAAAGGGCAACUGAGGAUGUGGGUAUUUACAGAUAUUUGUAAAGGAAAAUGUGUGAAGAAUAUUACUUAGGUCAAAUGCAGACUGGUGGGCUUGGGGCCUAGCUCAGCACUGAAGGGGGUAUUGACAGAAGAAGUUUCUUAUCUCAUUUGACAAUUCCCAAAUAACCACUCAGAGUUUUAAUAUUAAUUGUAAAUGCUCGGCCAAUAGCUUAGACUUGUUACUACCUAACUCUUACAUUUAAAUUAACCCAUGUUUCUUAUCUAUGCUUUGCCAACUGACUUGGAACUUUUUCUCAGUAUGGUAUGUCUAUCUUGUUUCUCCCUGAAUCUUAUGCUCAAGUCUCCAGACUCCGCCCUUCUUCCCAGAAUUCUCCUAGUCUGGCUCUCCUGCCCAAUCCCUACCUGCCCAGCUAUCAUCCACUCAGCUUUUUAUUAACAAUGAGAUCAACACAUUUUCCCACUAUACAGAAGGAUUAUUCCACAGCAAGGAGGCACUAAGCAUAGAUCUUGAGUGUUAUCUGAAUCACCAAAAGCUAAACCAACUGGCCAAUAUCCUACAGGGCAAUGAAACCAUAAUCUUUAAGACCAUCUUUCCUUUGGCUUUGUUUUAUUGUUGGUUUUUUGUUUUGUUUUUUCACUGUUGUUUGUUUGUUUUUUUCAAGAUAGGGUCUCACUGUGUAGCCCUGGCUGUCCUGGAACUCACUCUGUAGGAGAAAUGUAGAGGCAAAGACAGGUGGAUCUCUGUGAGUUCGAGGUCAGUCUGCCUGGUCUACAAAGAGUUCCAGAACUGUUACACAGAGAGGCCCCAUCUUGAAAAGCAAAAUCUAAUUAAUUGAUUAAUUAAUUUAGUUAAAAUUUUAAAAAUGAGAUUUGGGUAUUACACAGCAGAGGAGCAGUUACUGACGUCAUGGCUGACACUGGGAAUGCAGCAGCAAUCCUUAACUGAGUUUCUUCUCACUGCUGACUUGAAAGAUAUUUGUCUCCACCUGGGAGCCCCUAUGCCUGUCUCUUUGUUGUUUCCCUGUACUAUGGAAGAGACUGAGGAUUCUGGCAAAGCUAUCUAGCUCUUCCCUCUCCGCCAUCACACAAGUUGCUUUCCUGUUUGUAUGGCAUACCACACUCUACCAGUAACACCCAGCAGGCUACACCUGAGCAAAGAAUGUUCUUUUCAGCACUUACAUUUUGUUCCUUUCCAAUCAAUAACCCUUCUACACAACCACUCUCUUAUCAUUGGAAAGUCAAUGCUAUAGUCUCCCAGCAAAUGACUCUACCUGCAACUAACUCCCACCAUUGUCCUCUGGGCCUCCACACAUGUGCUACACACAACAGACAUGUGUACAUAAAAUAAAUGUGAUUUUGAAACCCUGGAAUUAAAUAAACAAUACCCUGGUUUCUAUUUCAGAUCAUACACAAUUGUUUGCCUUCUAAAAAGAACCAACAAGUAAUUGGGGCUAGCGAUUGGUGGGAUAUGUUGGGUUUUUAGUGUUUUGAUCCCGGGCACUGCCUGCAGUACAUAUUCAACCCACUCAAGAAUGAGUCCUUGAGGACCAAACAAAAAAAAAAAAAAUAGGCCUAGCUUGUAAAUGUCUCAUUAGCCUGCACUGGGCUUGCUGCCCAACCCUGAUUGGGUUCCCAGUGACCUCUUUUCAGGCUUGAGGCCAGAACUUAUUUUUGUUAGAUCUGGAAGCAAUGUAUUCGGUUCCCACAAAUGCCAUGGUGUUAUGAAAACUGCAGGUUGUACAGUGGCAGUGUCUAAAAGAGGUGUAAGAGGAGAAAUCGGGAGGAAAGAGAAAGACAAAGACACUUAAUGAGGUGGAGAGCUUGUCUCCCUCUUUCAGAGCAAUCCAAUUUUGAACAACCAGUCUCUCAAGCUAAAUUCCCACACCAGCUUGAUAUAAUUAGCAGCCAGUCUCCAAGGGAAAACCUCCAACAUAGCAAGCCUCAGGGGGACAGAAUGGAGACACAGAAGGCCAUUUACUGAUCACUGAUGUGUUCCUGACCCUACACCAGUUGUCAGCUAAUUUAUCCUUCAGAAAAGUCCAUGAGGAAUGAUGGGAAAAGAGAAGCAGUCUCACCUUAACUGAAUGGACAAAGCCAGGUUAUGCAUAGAACUUGGGAAGCCAAUGAUAGUGACAGAAUUGAUUAUGUUAUUUGAAUAAAACUGCACUUGGUGCUACCCUUGCACGUGACUUCCAUUUCUGGUUCAUUGAGAAGGACAGUAUUUUACCACCAAAUGAGUUGGCAUUCUUGAGGAUGAUGUGGUGAUUUGAAAGAAAAUGACCUCCAAAGGGAGUGGCACUAUUAGGAGGUAUGGCCUUGUUGGAGUAGGUGUGGUCUUGUUGGAGGAAAUGUGUCAUUGUGGAUGCGGGCUUUGAGGUCUCAUAUAUGCUCAAGCUGUGUCCAGUGAGACAGUUCACUUCCUGUUGCCUUUUAUCAAGAUGUAGGACUCUUAGCACCUUCUCCAGCACCUUAUCUGUCUGCAUGCCACCAUGCUUCCUGCCAUGAUAACAAUGGACUAAACCUCUGAACUGUAAGCCACCACAAUUAAAUGUUUUCCUUUAUAAGAGUCACUGUGGUCAUGGUGUCUCUUCAUGGCAAAGAAACCCUAACUAACUAAGACAGAAGUACAACAGUGUUCCCAGUUACCUAGACAGAUGUCUGCAUAGACAGUUAUGGCUCAUGGAAGAAUUCCUCACUCUCCAUACUCUGUCAGACUUGGGGUGAAUAUCAGAGGCCAGCCUUCUGGCCACAUUCAUGAUUACCUCACCCUCCAGAGAAAGGUUGACAGAAUUUAUUGGUUAUUUUUCUCAUGGCCUAACAAUGCAACUCAAGGAAGGAAGGGUUGGCUUGGGCUCACAGCUUGAGAGCACAGUCCACCAUGGUGGGGAAAGCAUGUUGCCAGGAGCCUAAGGCAGCUGGUCACACUGCAUCUGCAGUCAGGAAGCCUACAGGCGAGUGCUAUGGCUUGGCUUGCUCUGCUUUGAGUCACUGGAAGAUUCCAGCUCUUUCAAGGUGGGUCUUAUGUCCCCAGUUAAACCUUUCUGGAAAUACAAUUGCAGAUACAUCUAAAUGUAUAUUUCUACAGAGCUUCUAAAUCCAGUCAAAAUGACAAUGAAGAUUAGCCCUUGUGCUGGGCUGGCCAGUCAGCCAUAAUGAGUGUCAUAGUUAGGGUUACUAUCAGUGUAAUGAAACACCAUGACCAAAACAAGUUGGGUGGGGGGGGUAAAGGGUUUAUUUGGCUUAUACUUCCAUAUUGCUGGUCAUCAUUGAAGGAAGUCGAGCAGGGCAGGAAUCUGGAGGCAGGAGCAGAUGCAGAGACCACAGAGGAGUGCUGCUUACUGCCUUGCUCCUCAUGGCUUGCUCAUCCUGCUUUCUUAUAGAACCCAGGACCAUCAGCCCGGGAAUGACACCACCAACCAUGGGCUGGGCCCUCCCCUAUCAAUCACUAAUUAAACAAAUGUCCUGCAAGCUUGCCGAUAGCCCAAUCUUAAGGAGGUAUUUUCUCAAUUGAGGCUCCCCUCUUCAUUGACUCUAACUUGUAUCAAGUUGACACAGAACUAGCCAGGGCAAUCAGCCUACAGAAACUAACUUGGGGGCUUCAAAUAUGUUCCUCUGGCAUAUUCAAGUUGGCUAUUCCAACAGACUAUGACAAAAUCAACUCCCAAAGGCUGCCCAUUUGCAGAAGCAAGUCUCAUUAUUCAUAUUAGUGACUGAAUAAACACCAGGUGUAAGGACACAUUUCUAACUGAAAACACUCACUCUUUCCACCUAGGAAAGAUCCUUGCACAGAAAGAAGAGGCUGGGAGCUUUUGACAGUUGGCUCAGAGAUUUCCACAGGUGGCUGUUACUCGGGAGAUUAUCUGUGUGAGAAAAUGGCCCUAGUUCAGUGUGCACCUCUGCCAGCUGCUUUCCCAGCCUGCUGCAGGCUGUUACACUCAGAAACCUAAGCUUUUGUUCAUUCACUUAGCUCCCUGUAAGCCUCAUCUGUCUAGAACUCCUUAAAGGUGUGUGUGUGUGUGUGUGUGUGUGUGUGUGUGUGUGUGUGUGUGUGUGUGUGUAUGUGUGUAUAUGGUUUGUGUAUGUGUGGUAUGUAUAUGUGUGUGGUGUGUGUGUAUGGUUUCUCUGUGUGUGCAUGUAUGCAUGGUGUCCUAUGGGUAGGCAUGAUAAUAAAAGAUAAAUUUCUUUCUUAUUCCCCUCUCUCUUGUCAAUCUGUCUAUUAUUGCCAGCUGUUUCACACUAAAUUAUCACAGGGCAAAGGAUAAACUAAAAACAUCCCUAUAGAAACCAUCCUUGCUGGAAGAAAAAUACCCUGCAUACAACAGGACACCCAGAGUCAUGGGUGGUUUGAAGGAAGGAAGGAAGGAAGGAAGGAAGGAAGGAAGGAAGGAAGGAAGGAAGGAAGGGAAUGAGGGAGGGAGGAAGGGAGGGAGGGAGAAAAAAAGACACAAUGUCUUUCAACACAAGCUAACAGCAGUGACCUGUGACCCCAACAAGCUGAAGUUAUUAGAGAAAUAGGAUGUUAGCAAUGAAUUUAAAGCCUUCUUUAACUCUGUCACAUUCCCAACUGAGGUUGACCUUCAACAAUUGCUCCCUCAGGUAUCCACCUAACAUGGCUCAUCAAGGGUUUCACAACUAGAUACCAUUCUGGAAGCCAAACAUCAGUGAACAGGACAAUAAUGGUAGAUAUAUCUUUUUGUCAACCAUGUAAACCUGGCUAGCUUGAGAAAAAUCUAAAAAUGACCCUGAACUAGAGAGAAACCAUCUGAGUUUGAACCAGGAAAAUGUUUACAUUGUUAAUGCUGGGCCCAAAUCUUGGCAGUUAGCAAAAGCCAGCUUUUCUCACAAAGCGGGUUCCCUUCUACCGAAGGAGCCAUUUCUUUAUCACUGGCAGAAGGGACAAAUGCUAUCUGUGGUGCCUAUUAGCAUCCCAGAGCUCCCACUGUCUUCCAGGUUCCCUUAGUAUCACAAGCACCUGUUACACAGUUCAGGGUCCAGGCCAGCAUCCUGGCUCUUCCCAUCUCUCACACGGCCCCGUCCCCUAAACUCACAGGCUUCCCUCUCCACCCCCAGCUUCGAAUUCCCUUAUAACCCUGCUAAGCCGGCUAUGUGCUAUCUUGUCCCCCUCUCUCUUGCCCCCUCUCUUCAUCAUCUCUUUCUCUUGCUCUCUCUCCCUACCCCCUUACUCUCAUUGACAAGUCCAGUCUUCUGGCCAUGUUCUGUCUACUUCUUUCUCUUCUUGCUCUGUACUCUUCCAGAUGGCUCUCCUGUCCUCCUCCUCAGAUCUACAGUAAAAACCUCACCCAUACCUUGGAGUGGUCAUGUCCUCAGUUUACCUACACAGUGUACAGUCUCCUCCUCAAUGUGUGUGCCUCGGCUGUUUUCCAGCACCUCAAUAGCUGAGGCUGGUUGAGGAGGGUGUCUUGGGGUUGGUUUGUUGGUUUAGUUGGUUGGUUUGGGAUAUUUUUGAAGACAGAGUCUCACAUUGUGGCCCAGGAUGGCCCAGGAUGGCCUAGAACUUAGUGUGAAGGCCAAGCUGAACUUUCACCAAUCCUUUCGCCACAGCUUCCUGAAUACUGGGAUGACAAAUACAAGCUACUGCACUGGCAUUUUAUUAAAGAGGUUUGUUGAGCUCUCUGUUUUGGAGGCCUAUUGUCUAAACAGCAUAGUACUCACUCAGGUGAGACUCAUACUAAAAGACAUCAUGGUGGGAACAAAACAAAACAAAGAGAUGCCAGGCCCGAUGGUACACACAGGAUCUCAGCAUUACGAAGCUGAGGCUGGGGAAGUACCAUAUGUUUGGGAAAAUUCCAUUCUAUAGAAUGAGACCCUGUCUAAGCAAAAUAUGGGAAAAGGCGCUGGGCGGUACUGGUGCACGCCUUUAAUCCCAGCACUCGGGAGGCAGAGGCAGGCAGAUCUCUGUGAGUUUGAGGCCAGCCUGGUCUCCAGAGUGAGUGCCAGGAUAGGUUCCAAAGCUAUACAGAGAAACCCUGUCUCUUUGAAAAGAGAAAAAAAAAAAAAAAAAACAGAAAAAAAGAGAUGGGAAUAGGCUGGUAGAGAUCAUGUAGCCCUAGGUUUGACCCCUAGCACUGAAUAACUGGAGGUAGAAGGGGGCAAAUCAGAAGUUCAGGGUCUUCUUGGCUACAUAGUGAGUAUGAAACAUGAGACUUUAUCUCAAUAUGAGAGAGAGAGAGAGAGAGAGAUCACAUGGUAAGGUAGGUAUGGGGAGGAGUGGAACUCACUCUGUAACAACUCAGUCUCAGUGAAAAUAACUGGAGCCCCGCAGGAAUUCAUUUCUUCCUGAGCCAAUGGUUCCAUCAUUUAAAAGUCCACCCAAUGUCUCAGCAUCACUACAUAAAAGCCAAACUUGUGCACAUGAACUCGGGACAGCCACAUCCAAACCAUAGUAACUGGUACACACAUUAUCUUUUCCUAGCAUGUGUAUAAUACUGUGUUGUGGCUAAGGGUCUCACUUGCCACACUGGAACUUCAGCAAGUCAUAGGGAUAGGAGCUUGUGUGUCUAUUUCUAACUAGUGAACUAAGCUAGGGGAGAGGGCCAGGGAUGAAUGCACCCAAAGCUCCCUUUACCCCAUGGCUGGCAAGACAGGCUAGGGCAAUGGCUCCACAGCUCCUAGCUGACUUCAGGGCCGCAACUGUACAGUGUCCUGAUGGGAUCUAUUUAUCGCCCUGGGUACACCUGGGUGAGGCAAGGGAGGGCAUUUCCUCAGUGGGUGUGAAAACCAUCUGAUAUGCUUGACCAUCGCACUAGGUUACUUGAGAGGGAGGCCAAAGCUUAGCUAGGUGUGGCUAGAGCUCUUGCAGAGAACAGUAGGACAAGUAAGGAUUUUCAGCUCUAACAUCCUUAACCUAUCAUUUCUUCUACAGCUUACACUACAUAAAGCCAGCCAGCUUCUUACUCAUCCGAACUUUUGUUUCAAUUCAACCUAUUACACUUGGGCAACAGUGUGAAAUGUAGGAUUCCCAUCUUCAGAUGGCUUAAGAGGAACCCAGUGCCAAGGGAGGCAAGCCUCCUAAGAAUCAAAGUUUGAGGCUCUCUUCCAAGGGCAAUUUUCUGAGGAAACAUAUUGCAGGAUAAUUUCUACUGACAGUCUGUUAUCCUGUUGCUUAAGUUCACCAAAUUUUAUCGUUGACUUUUUUUUUCUCUAACACUCUGGAAUACAAACAAAGCCCCAAACAGCAUUAUCCCUUUCCCCACUCUGAUAGCCCUGCAGUGAGCAGCCUGGUUACUGUUUGUGCACCUGUUCUCUUAUGGCCUUAGGGUAAACAUCCGAGGCAAGUUUAACUCUAAGGAUUGAUACAUUUUUAUGGCUUUUGAAAUAAAAUUGCUCCCUCAAAGAAAGAGCUAUUUUUGUUCCCACUGGUCUUGAGUGGAAGUAUUUAUUUCCCUAUAAUUGUCUCUUUGUUGAGUACUGCAAUAAAACAAAAUUGCUAAUAUGAUAGAGGAAUAAAUAAGUUACCUCUUUACAUGUAUUCCUUUAUUGCCAUUGGGGCUACAGAUAGUUUGAUGUCUGUGUGCCAUAUAUUUUAUAUGUGAAUUAGUUGUUCAUAUGCUUUGUAAGUGUUCUUCAUACAGCAGUUAACAUUACACUUGUAUAUAUUUUGCAGAGAAUAAGCUUUGCAAAAACUUUAAGUGUGUGUGACUGCACGAGUUUGUCUGUAUCUGUGAUGUAAGGCUAUGUGCACUUGAGUACAGGAGCCCUUGGAUUCAGACAGGGGCAUCCAAAGCCCUGGAGCUGGAGUUACAGGUGGUUAUGAGCACCUAAUGUGUGCCCUGGGAACUAAAUUCAGGUCUUCUGUAAAAGAAGCUCAUGUUCUUCUUCUUCUUCUUUUUUUUUUUUUUUCUCCAUGCUUUUGGUUUUUCAAGACAAGGUUUCUCUGUGUAGCUCUGGAGCCUGUCCUGGAACUAGUUCUGUAGACCAGGAGGUAAUAAUUUAAUUGAAAAUGCUGUGGAUCCAGAAAAGAGACACUAGUUCAUACCUUCUCCUAGUAGUCUCUGGGAUGUGGUUAAUCAAGAUUAAUGGUAUGAAACUGGAGAGAUGGCUCAGUGGUUGAGAUCACUGGUUGUUUUUCCAGAGGACCUAGGUUCAAUUCCCAGCACCCACAUAGCAGCUCACAACUGUAUGCAACUCCAGUUCCAGGGGAUCUGGCACUCUUACACAGACAUGUAUGCAGGCAAAACACGAAUGCACAUAGAAAUAAAUUUUAAAAUUUUAAGAGAGAGAGAGAGAGAGAGAGACUAACUAAGUGGUAUUAUGAUCAUAGCUUCUCUAUGUAGCCCUGGCUGUCCUGGAACUUGCUCUGUAGACCAGGCUGGCCUCAAACUCACAGAGAUCUGCUAACCUCUGCCUCCUAAGUGCUGCGAUUAAAGGUGUGCACCACCACCACCAGACUACAUGCCUGUUUUCAUUUAGGGCUCAUGACUUUUGUAAGUAGAAGUAUAUUGCUAUUCUCAUUUGACAGAUAUGAGAAGUGAGCCAGGGACGUUAAGAGGUCUUCACACCUGGGGUUGUGAAGAUUGCUUGGUUAGUAAAACCACUUGCCUUGCAAGCUCAAGGUUCCAAGUUUGAUCUUCAGAGCCUACAAAGUGGCAUCUGCUUGUGUUCUGGUACUGGGAAGGGAGGGGUAAGGAGAUCUCUGGGGCUGGCUGGCUAGUCUAGCCUGGUAGGCUAGUUGCAGGCCAAUGAAAGAUGCCAUCUAAAGAAAAACAAAAAGAUGAGUGAAGCCUGUGGAACAGCACAUAAGUUAGAACCCUGAUAUUCCAAAUACACAUGUACACACACACAUAAACACACACACACACACACACACACACACACACAGCAGCAGCAGCAGCAGCAGCACACACAUGAACAUGUAUACACACACCAGCACACACAGGAACAUGCAUGCACACACCAGCACACACACACACACAAACACACACUCGUGCGCACUAAGUAAAAUAAAAUUGAAAAGAAUAGAACAGCAGCAAAUGUUACUCUAGACGAGCUCAUGUCCUAUCUUUGAACUGAGGCCCACUGGCCUGCAACCCUGGGCUUCAAAGAGUCCUGGCCCUUCAAGCAGCAUCUCACAGAACUUGGGUCUCCCUAGUCACUCACUUCAAACCUCUUUCUUUUCUUUGAUGCUCUAUUAUCUCUGGUGAAGUCAGACACUCAGUUUGCUCUAUGAGAAGUGGAUGGUGGCUUGGUUUUCAUUCCUGAAAAGAGCACCAUCAAAGAGGCAGGAAGUCCUCUCGUGCAACUCUUUAAAAAGAACUCCCCCAGCAACUCACUUAAUAGCAUCAUAACCAGGAAGUCCUCUCUGAGAUCUAAUCUACAUCCAUACUGCAACAACUUAUAAAUAAACUUCGACUUCCCACCCCAUAACCAGAGUGCUGGAUGCCCAAGGACAGUGUCAAACAGUAAUUGAGAGCAUACCAAACACAGCCAAGAGGAGAAUUGGCUAAUUUGCAUGUGAAACAUGUAAUCCUCAGAUAAAAGGUGUCUCAUGUUAGAAAGCUUCUCUACUUUUUUUUUUAAACAAAUUAGUCCCAUUAUUAAACUCCUGCUAACAGCAGCUGCAAAUACUCAAUAAUUCUUAUUUGAAGAAGAAAACCUCGGUGUCUCCUCUUCUUUUGUUUUGGGAGAGAUAUGUACACUGCUCUUUAUCUAAAGGCAGGAGGCCCUGAACUCCUGCUGGGGCAAAUUAGGAACAAUACUGAACAGAAUUGAAUGGAACAUUCAAAUUCUCUGUACCAGAAAAAAAAAAAAAAAUGUCCCCCAAGUCCCAGGUGUCAGUUGGAGGUGGGAGUGCACAGUUUCAUGGUUGCAUAUUAACUCCCUGACCUCCUCACGAUAGCCAGGUGACAGCUGCAGUGUGGUUUCUUUGAAGUGUGGCAUUCUGGGGCGGCACUUCAGAGAGCACAGGCCUCUAAGGCAGGUAUGUUUGCUGGACACACCUGGUACAUGCCAACCACACAGCAGCAGAUGGAGGGCAGGACAUGCCUAAGCCAGGGGAUCUUAACCUUCCUAAUGCUGGGACCCUUUAAUACUGUUCGCUCCUCAUGUUGUAUUCAUGCCCAACCAUAACAUUAUUUCACUGCUACUUCAUAACCAUAAUUUUGCUGCUGUGGUGAAUUGUGAUGUAAAUAUUUUUGGAGACAGAGACUUGUCAAAGGGGUCACAAUGCACAGGGUGAGCUUAGAGAUGAAUUAAGAGUGUUUCAAAAUACAUUCUUUUUGAAGGAAAAAGAAAGUCUCCUGUACUUAUGCUCUUCAUAGCACAGAUGCGUUGUGGGAGACACUUUGACUAGCAAGUGCCCUGUGUGAAAACUCAAAUCUCAUUCACAUGAGCAAGAGGUGUGACCAGCUAUUAAUACAGACUGGGUUAAAAGUUAAGGUGCGAGUAUGAAGUUAGGGAUGUACGUUCUGUUGUAAAGGAAAAUGUGAGCCACCAU
rnacentral:lncRNA from 1 species